AUGCGGAAAAGACGUGUUGCUUCAACUACCAUAUUCAUUGACAAGCUCAUUCUUGGAAAUGGAAAAUUUUUGGUUGGUCAUCCUUGGAUAUGUGAAAAUGGUGUUGCCCCUGACAGAGCAUUGGAUCCUGCUGUUCUUUCUCAUCUCAAACAGUUUUCAGCAAUGAAUAAGCUAAAGAAGAUGGCUUUACGGUGCCAGUGGUGCAAUCACUUUUUUGAUGAAUUCAAAGCUGGUCUAAGAAGAUACGGGUCUACCCUUAAGGAUAUACCGAAAUACGUGAUCUUAUUGAAGCGCUGA